rnacentral:rRNA from 1 species
CACGCCGCGUGAGUGAUGAAGGUUUUCGGAUCGUAAAGCUCUGUUGUUAGGGAAGAACAAGUAUCUGUUGAAUAAGCAGGUACCUUGACGGUACCUAACCAGAAAGCCACGGCUAACUACGUGCCAGCAGCCGCGGUAAUACGUAGGUGGCAAGCGUUGUCCGGAAUUAUUGGGCGUAAAGCGCGCGCAGGCGGUUCCUUAAGUCUGAUGUGAAAGCCCACGGCUCAACCGUGGAGGGUCAUUGGAAACUGGGGAACUUGAGUGCAGAAGAGGAGAGCGGAAUUCCACGUGUAGCGGUGAAAUGCGUAGAGAUGUGGAGGAACACCAGUGGCGAAGGCGGCUCUCUGGUCUGUAACUGACGCUGAGGCGCGAAAGCGUGGGGAGCGAACAGGAUUAGAUACCCUGGUAGUCCACGCCGUAAACGAUGAGUGCUAAGUGUUAGAGGGUUUCCGCCCUUUAGUGCUGCAGCAAACGCAUUAAGCACUCCGCCUGGGGAGUACGGUCGCAAGACUGAAACUCAAAG